ACGAAGGGUGCAAGCGUUAAUCGGAAUUACUGGGCGUAAAGGGUGCGUAGGCGGUUCGUUAAGUCUGUUGUGAAAUCCCCGGGCUCAACCUGGGAAUGGCAAUGGAUACUGGCGAGCUAGAGUGUGUCAGAGGAUGGUGGAAUUCCCGGUGUAGCGGGGAAAUGCGUAGAGAUCGGGAGGAAAAGAAGUGGCGAAGGCGGCCAUCUGGGACAAAACUGACGCUC
rnacentral:rRNA from 1 species